GUGUACACUACGGUGGCACAUAUACUAAAAUUGGAUUGAUACAGAGAAGAUUAGCAUGGUCCUGCGAAAGGAUGACACGCAAAUCCGUAAAGCGAUCCAUAUUGCU
ensembl:snRNA U6 U6 spliceosomal RNA